ACCCGCUGAACUUAAGCAUAUCAAUAAGCGGAGGAAAAGAAACCAACAGGGAUUGCCUCAGUAACGGCGAGUGAAGCGGCAAGUGCUCAAAUUUUAAAUCUGGCGUUUACGACGUCCCGAGUUGUAAUUUGGAGAGGCAUCUUCGGGGACAGCGUCAGACUAUGUUCCUUGGAACAGGAGGUCACAGAGGGUGAGAAUCCCGUGUCUGCCUGGCUGUCUGAUCCCUUGUGAAGUGCCUUCUACGAGUCGAGUUGUUUGGGAAUGCAGCUCCAAGUGGGUGGUAAAUUUCAUCUAAAGCUAAAUAUGGGCGAGAGACCGAUAGCGCACAAGUAGAGUGAUCGAAAGAUGAAAAGCACUUUGAAAAUAGAGUUAAAAAGUACGUGAAAUUGUUGGAAGGGAAGCGCUUGAGAUCAGACUCAGCCCCAGGCAAACAGCCUUCCCUACUCCAGGGAGGUGCACUUGCAUUGGGUCUGGGCCAGCGUCGGUUAGUGUGGUGGGACAAAGGCGUAGGGAAUGUGGCUCCUCUCGGGGAGUGUUAGAGCCCUGCGCGCAAUGCCACCUACGCUGACUGAGGACCGCGCCUUGGCGAGGAUGCUGGCACAAUGGUCUUCAGCGACCCGUCUUGAAACACGG
rnacentral:rRNA from 1 species